rnacentral:rRNA from 1 species
AUUGAACGCUGGCGGCAUGCCUUACACAUGCAAGUCGAACGGCAGCGCGGACUUCGGUCUGGCGGCGAGUGGCGAACGGGUGAGUAAUACAUCGGAACGUACCCUGUUGUGGGGGAUAACUAGCCGAAAGAUUAGCUAAUACCGCAUACGACCUGAGGGUGAAAGUGGGGGACCGCAAGGCCUCACGCCGCAGGAGCGGCCGAUGUCUGAUUAGCUAGUUGGUGGGGUAAAGGCCCACCAAGGCGACGAUCAGUAGCUGGUCUGAGAGGACGAUCAGCCACACUGGGACUGAGACACGGCCCAGACUCCUACGGGAGGCAGCAGUGGGGAAUUUUGGACAAUGGGGGCAACCCUGAUCCAGCAAUGCCGCGUGUGUGAAGAAGGCCUUCGGGUUGUAAAGCACUUUUGUCCGGAAAGAAAUCGCGCUGGUUAAUACCUGGCGUGGAUGACGGUACCGGAAGAAUAAGCACCGGCUAACUACGUGCCAGCCGCCGCAGUAA